UUCGCUAGAGUUGCGACAUGAGGGUCACUACUGUUGGAAACAAACUGGCACGUGUAUGCACCAGUGCACGUGAACUGUUGGUAUACAACAGCCACACGCCCUUUUGUACUCAAACUGAACAGCCAUUUUGUUUCCAAAAUCUGAAGCUGGCGCUGCGCUCUCCAUCUGGAUCCCUGUCUUCCGUGUGUUCUGAUUCAAAAUAACGUUGUACAUCUGCGUCUGCGGUUUAGUUCACAGUCGUGUAGCCCAACGUUCCCUAAAAGACACCGCUGCUUCAUAUCAGGUGCUUGGUCGAGGACCGUUUUGUCCAGAGGGCUUACCGGUUGGAAUCGAUCUUCUUUUCGUGGAUAUACACGUCAUUUGAUACCUCGUCGCUUUGAAAUUUAUGCUGCUUGUAAAAUGAUUGGAAAGAUUGGAUGAAAAUGGUUAAAAAGGCCGGCGCAGCUUGACGACAGAAGCAGAUGACUGUUGGAACGGUUGGAACAAAGGAGAUAUUUGGGUUUGUCGGCUUCACAGGCUAUACUCGAGCGGAAGAGAAAAUAAAACCCUUCUCUCCAGAAAAGUAUGGAUCUAUCCUUUUGCCUUUUCUUGGGUCUGGCGUUGGCGACCUCAUCAAUGACGUCAUUGCCGGUGAGAGCCUUCUCGCCGGCUAAACGCUAUUAUUCCUGCACGGACGUGGCUGGCUCCAGGCUGCAGAUCGUCCUGGAGAAUCUGCGAGCUGGGGAGGGGGAGAUCAUGACCCUCUCCAACGAACACUUCGGGACCGCCUUGUCGGACACCCUGAGCGAUCUUCGGCUGCUGCGGGAGUUCAACCGGCUCAAGCGUCGGAAACAAGGGCACGGCAACAUCCAGACGUUUGUGUCUGGCACCUUGCGCAACAUCACCCAACAGAUCCAGACCUUGGAGAGAGCCUGUCGGGGAAUGAUACUUGAGGAGGACCCUAACGAGGGCAGUAUUUAAUAUUGAAUUGGUGGGGAAAGAACAUUCCGAGUGCUGUUGGCAAAUGAAUACCGAUACAAUGUCAGACACUUAAAACUCUGUUUUCCUCUAUUGACCUCCAUUUUAGAAUGUGGCAUUUCCCAGUAGAACUUUUUCAGGUUUACACGGUUUCCUUUUAAAGUGUACUGUAAAAGCAUAGUCUAGGCCCGAUUAAUUCUAUAGCCCUAUAUAGGCGCCAGUGCUCCGUGGAACACACUCUGCCCAAGGUACCAGCACCAGUUUCAUCGCACUGGUACGUGCGUGCUGGAGGUUUGCAUUUCAUGUUGAUUCGAAGCUGUGUAUUAUAAGCUUUCGUCUGAAGAUUUCCCAAAAUUCGAAAAUUCAAGGAGAGUGCGCUAAAACUUGGAACAAAAUAUGUGGUAUAUUUGUUGACCCUUAACUUAUGUUUUGUAGCACCGAAUUUUUUCUAACAGGCUCUAGCCAUAGUUACUGGUUAAUCCUGCCUUGAGUAGAGAUAGAAAUAUUAACACGUGUUUCAGACAGGCGUUCCAAUGUCGCGCCGAGCCAAAUUAAAAGAAAAUUUGAAUUAAGUACGGCAAGAGUGCGACGUCUGAAACAAUUAGGAGCGACCAGGCGUGCUAGUAGGCAUAAGAUAGACACUUGAAGGCGCUCGGAACGACAAAGAGCGAUUUGGUUUCAGAUGUCGCUCUGGCUAUGGGCCGAACCCAAUGCAAUUUACACUUUAGUUCAAAGGCUCCGAUUCAGUUAGAGUCAUCAGAACUGUUUCAAAAUCAGUGACGUAAAUGUUUGCUGGAAAUUGAGGGAUGGGGGAUGGAGAAAGUUGGGGGAUGACUUGCCCGGCCAUGAAAGUUUGAGGAGGGGUGACACCAUAAUUUAUGACUCUACGUAGAGGUCGAUGUUCAUGACAUUGAUGUACAUCUGUAAUAUGUAUUCAGAAAGGCAUCUUUAUGGCUUAUAAAAUUGUUUUCUCCCUUUUUGGGUGAUGCUGAAUCUAUUUUAGUCGUUAGAAGUUUGAAAAAUUCUUAAAAAUCCACUUUAAAAUUAAGUUUUUUUCUCCCAGCAAAAGGUGACGGGAUGACCCAAUAGCCCAUCCCCCCACUUCAGAAAGUGGAGGAUAUAUAUAACUCUUCCCCGGGUUGAUUACGCCUAUGUUCAAAAUUAUCGAAACAAUAUUAACGACUUAUAGUUAGGAUAAACCCGAUUUGUCUCAGUUUAAAGGCGUAUUUCUUCUGCUAUUCACUCUCUGUAUAGUUGUGUUUCGAGUCUGUUUUGUGGCAAUUUAUGAAAUAUUAGACAUCACUUCUUGCCGCGUACCGUACCGGCAUGAUGAGUAUAACCAUGUGUGCACGUUUUCUAGGUUUUGUGCGCUUGCAAGAUUGAAGAUUUUUCAUUCGGCUGAACCACAGCAGGUCUCAUAC